CUUCACAGUAACUAAUUUUGAUGUCACAAACAAAUGGCUAUGAUUUCAGGUGGUGAAGUAACAGCAGGAGCAGAUGCACUCUGAAGAACAAAGACUAAAGUCAUGCACGAAUCCCUAGUAAUAAAAUGUUAGGCAAGAAAAACAAAGAGUCUGUCCUGCACAGAGAGAGGAAAGGUAAAGAAGUGAACCUGUGGGAAGAAGCUUUGCCGUUUUAUUUGAUUCAGAGGAAAACAGUGCAUUAUGCGUACAAAGAAAGGGAAUCUGUCUGCAAAAGCGUGGAACUUGUUUGGAACUGCCUUAAACCCUGCAC